rnacentral:lncRNA from 1 species
UACAUUAAGUUAUCGCAGGAAAGAAUGGUUUGUCUGUAGCGGUAAUCAUUGAGGCUGAAGAUUUGGUGAAACUAUCAGAGCCUUGCGAUUUGGAUAAAUCUUUUGCAAUUAGCCAAUCAAUACAAGGAACAUCUAGAAAGCUGUGGAAGUUAAUUCAUCAAACAAGAAUAUUACACUUAUAAUUGAUGAUAAUUCUCUUCUGGAAGUGGCUGCUAAUGGUUCUACAAAAGACAUUUUAAAUUUGAUGCAUUACUACCAUACAUUAACCACACAAUUUAGCGUUGUACAAUAAUUACUGAUCUUCAUGAGGACAUUUAUUCAAGUGGAGAUGGAUUUACAUUUCCUUUACAAAUGGAGUACCUUGCUGACAUCACCAUAAACUGAGCCUUUGAUAACCGGGUUGGCAGCAGAUGUUCACGCUUUUGUAGCGUUUAGAUUGAUUUGAGUGUGUGAGUUAGGACAGGCCAGCACUUUUACAGAAUUUUAGUGAGAUAUGAUGGAUCCAGAAGACCUACAAUCAGACCUACUUGCUUUGAGAAGGUUAUAUAGGCUUCUUGUACAAGAUGAACACUAUAUAGAAGAUGAAGCCUCAGAAAAUUUGUAGUUGUAGCAUUAAAUCUGUCUUCAUACGAUAACGCAAGACGUUUAUUAAUAAAUUCACUUGAUGCUGCUGCGAAUAAAACUUUCGAUGCUCAUGCAAAGAUUCUAGAUGCUCAAAUUAAGCAACGAAUAGCUUGUGGUCAACGCCGCAAGGGCCAUCUAGAGACGGGCUAAAUCUGCGAUCAUUUUCAAUGGGAAAAGCACCAACUAAUGCUGCUUAUGUUGACCUUUUAACUGGUGAUUGGAAUUUCAGUGAGUCAACUGAUCAAGCAGACCUUGCAGGUGAUCCUGGCACCAGAAUCAAAUGAUGCCGGGUGUAUUUCUGUAAGACUGACCAAAACUAAAGACCAGGACAAAAUAGAAGUGUUAAUGGUAUUUUCACCAAACCAUGAUGACAUGGUAUUCCCUAAUGGGUACAAUACAUUCCUGGUGGUAAGAUUCAAAAACUCGAGCAGUGUGCAGCUACGCUUCUUAUGGGCUGCAGUUGUGGUUCUCUAUCUUUAAACGGCUCAUACACUCGAAAAAGGGCUCCAUUGCAUUAUAUGUUUGCUCAGGCUGAAUACAAGACUGUGAAGAAAGCAGCAAUGGUUAUUUCUUCUCAAUAACGAUUACAUUUGGGAUCGCUCUUGGGAUCGCGUUGUCGAAGACAUACAAAGAGAAUAGCCCAAGUUCAUUAAUCAUAGUUGGUUUACUCAACGCUUCAUCAGCUAGACUUCUUUAUCUACAUGGCAGUGGUCGAUUUCAAAUUAAGUCUUAUGCAACCGUCUUACCAGGAAACGACAUAGAUGUUAAUGAACAUAACGAGCCAAUUGCGAGCUUGGAGAGAAUUAGGGAAUAAGAGAUUCCUAGGGACACUAACCCAUUGGCGAUUGUGGCGGAUAAUAAUCUGAGAGUGGCAUCUUUAGAGAGAAUGCACUAAGCGUUGCAAGAUGACGCGAAGCUAGCGUCUUCAACUGUCUCAAUAGCAGCUGCUACUUCUGUUGCUAAAGUGGCUGCAGCUGCUGCUAAAAUCGCAUCAGACGUUGCUGAAACAAGCAAGAUUGAUGUCUGAUGAUUUUUUUUUAAUCAAAAAGAUUAGGUUUAAACACUCUUGGGUUAAAACAAUGUUUUAACCCGAGAAAAAGUGAAACCACUGUUUUGAGUUAAAACAGUGUUUUGAAAUCACUUUUGGGUUAAAACAGUGUUUGAAACCACUUUUGGGUUAAAACAGUGUUUGAAGCCAAAAGUGAUUUCAAAACACUGUUGGGUUAAAACAGUGUUUGAAACCACUGUUGGUUUCUUGGAUUUUUUUAAAAAAAUUAAAAUAUAUUUCUGUGGUUUUUUCUUUAUGUGAAACAAAUGUUGAUGUUUUUUGUUUUUGCUAAAUUUAAAUGCUAUAGGUGUUGGAGAUCGGGCCCACAAUCAAGUGGGACAAAGGAAAGGCUCUUGAGUUUUUGUUAGAGUCACUUGGUGUUGUUCCUAUGUCAAGACGAUGAAAGUCAGAGACAUUUAGAGCACAGUACAUUGAUGCAAAAGAACUCAAUGUCUGUUAGUACAUGGAAUGUUGCUGGGAAACUGCCACCAACUUUGGAUGUUUGUUUUUCCUUUUGUAAUAUUUGUUUUUGAAACAGAGGUUAGGAUUCCAAACAGUGGUAUGAGAAACAUAUGUUCGAAACCUUUGUUUGAUUACAAACAGAGUCUUGAGAAAUAGUGAUUUGGCGAAACAGAGAUUACCCUUUACCAACAGUAGUUGACUU